rnacentral:rRNA from 1 species
UGGGGAAUAUUGGACAAUGGGCGCAAGCCUGAUCCAGCCAUGCCGCGUGAGUGAUGAAUGCCCUCGGGUUGUAAAGCUCUUUCACCGGUGAAGAUAAUUACGGUAACCGGAGAAGAAGCUCCGGCUAACUUCGUGCCAGCAUCCGCGGUAAUACGAAGGGGGCUAGCGUUGUUCGGAUUUACUGGGCGUACAGCGCACGUAUGCGGACUUUUAAGUCAGGGGUGAAAUCCCGGGGCUCAACCCCGGAACUGCCGUUGAUACUGGAAGUAUUGAGUAUGGUAGAGGUGAGUGGAAGUCCGAGUGUAGAGGUGAAAUUCGUAGAUAUUCGGAGGAACACCAGUGGCGAAGGCGGCUCACUGGACCAUUACUGACGCUGAGGUGCGAAAGCGUGGGGAGCAAACAGG